rnacentral:rRNA from 1 species
GACGAACGCUGGCGGCGUGCUUAACACAUGCAAGUCGAACGGAAAGGCCCUGCUUUUGUGGGGUGCUCGAGUGGCGAACGGGUGAGUAACACGUGAGUAACCUGCCCUUGACUUUGGGAUAACUUCAGGAAACUGGGGCUAAUACCGGAUAGGAGCUCCUGCUGCAUGGUGGGGGUUGGAAAGUUUCGGCGGUUGGGGAUGGACUCGCGGCUUAUCAGCUUGUUGGUGGGGUAGUGGCUUACCAAGGCUUUGACGGGUAGCCGGCCUGAGAGGGUGACCGGCCACAUUGGGACUGAGAUACGGCCCAGACGCCGACGGGAGGCAGCAGUGGGGAAUAUUGCACAAUGGGCGGAAGCCUGAUGCAGCAACGCCGCGUGCGGGAUGACGGCCUUCGGGUUGUAAACCGCUUUCGCCUGUGACGAAGCGUGAGUGACGGUAAUGGGUAAAGAAGCACCGGCUAACUACGUG